CAGACCAAUACGGAAGAAAACUGCGUCGCAGCAAAGAUUUUAAAGUCACCUGACAUGGCAGAUGAAAGCGCAGCUGCGUGUGUUGACCAAAAGAGGGUGCUAAAGCCCACAGAAAAGGCUGUAGAGGAGAAAUUACACAGGCUGAAAGGAGAACGCAAGUGAAAGUUGGCACAAAUAACCAAACAGAAGAAUUUAAAGAUGCU